CAUUGAAGCCCCUCCUGCAGUGGAGCAUCUCCUGCAGUGGAGCAUCUCCUACAGCUGCAGGGAAAGUUCAAGCCUCCACCAUCUCCUCAGGCAGCGUGUCCCAGAUUGCAACCACCCUCUGGAUUUUCAGCAUCUGCGGUUCUUUGCUUUACACGUUGAUUUUGAUGUUGUGACCGGCCAACAACAAAUCAAAGGAGAUCAGAUACGUGGUGUCGUAAUCUACUGGGAUUCAAGUAACUAACUGUGGAAGUCAGAGAACCAGUUGUGACUGUGAGACGUGGUGUUGUGUUGGAAGCACACAGAUGACCUGGGAUGUUCAUUAGAUGCAUCAAGAAGUUGCUAUGGAGACGGUGCAGGACGUUCCCCCCGGUUACGGCAGGGUUCCCUUCCUGGGAACCGUUCCCAAGCGGAACAUGCGUCCGUGAACAGAGUUCCCACACGACAGAAGAUGCCUGCAGCCCCGCAGCAGCCGGUAAAUCCAUCCCACCGUCUCCCAGACACUCGCUCAUGUGUACGGGCUGUACUUUACUGUGUCCGUAAGCUGGGGACGAUCUACACCUCAAACAAGUCAACUCGGGGCUGGACAACGAUUAAAGAUAAAGACGUAACAAAGAAAUAAUGUGAGAAAAUGCUCUAAAUACUCAGCCGGUCGGGCAGCAUCUUGUGAAGAAAGAAACAGUUCAUGUUUCAUGCUCCUGUAGAAACAGGCCCUUCAGCCCAACUUGUCCAUGCUGACCAAGAUGCCUCCUCUAAGCUGAUCCUAUUUGCCCACGUUUGGCCCAAAGCCCUCUGACCUUUCUUCCCCAUGUUGAAACACCUUCUGAAAAAUGUCUUCUCAGAUCAAUGACCGUUCAUCAGAACUGAUGCAGUCACAUAAUGUGGCCAGUUCUGAUACAAAAUGGAAAGGCUGGUUAUCUGAAAUUGCCCAUAUUAAUGAUAACUUCAAGGGCUGCACCACACUGAAACGUGAUGCUGUUCCGCAAGAUUUUGUCGGCUUCGUUGGAACAAUUGGAACGGCUUCAUUUGGGGCGGCACGGUGGUGCAGCGGUAGAGUUGUGGCCUUAUAGCACCAGAGACCCAGGUACGAUCCUGACUAUGGGUGCUG